CCUACGGGGGGCAGCAUUGAGGAAUAUUGGUCAAUGGCCGCGAGGCUGAACCAGCCAAGUCGCGUGAGGGAUGACUGCCCAAAGCGUUGUAGACUUCUUUUAUAGAGGAAUAAAGUGAGGCACGCGUGCCUUUUUGUGUGUACUUUAUGAAUAAGGAUCGGCUAACUCCGUGCCAGCAGCCGCGGUAAUACGGAGGAUCCGAGCGUUAUCCGGAUUUAUUGGGUUUAAAGGGUGCGUAGAUGGGUUGUUAAGUCAGUGGUGAAAUUUUGCGGCUCAAACGUGCAAGUGCAUUUGAUACUGGCAGUCUUGAGUGCAGUUGAGUCAGGCGGAAUGCGUGGUGUAGCGGUGAAAUGCAUAGAGAUCACGAAGAACUCCGAUUGCGAAGGCAGCGUACCAAGCUGCCACUGACGCUGAUGCACGAAAGUGUGGGGAUCAAACAGGAUUAGAUACCCGAGUAGUC
rnacentral:rRNA from 1 species